rnacentral:rRNA from 1 species
UAAGCCGAGGCCGAAAGGCGUAGGUGAUGGAAAACGGGUUAAUAUUCCCGUGCCUCCCAUAAUGAGCAGAGCAGGGACGGAGAAGGGUAGCUGAGCCACCGUGUGGUUGUGGUGGUUCAAGCCGGUAGGCCGAGCUCCUAGGAAUAAAACGGGAGCUCAACGCCGAGAAGUGAUGACGAAGGGCUCUGCCCUAUAAAGUCAGUGAUCCCAUGCUUCCAAGAAAAGCUGCGUACUGUGUUGAUUUAUGGGGGACCGUACCCCAAACCGACUCUGGUGGGCGGGGUGAGUAUCCCAAGGCGCUUGAGAGAACCCAGGUUAAGGAACUAGGCAAAAAAGCACCGUAACUUCGGGAGAAGGUGCGCCGGUUUUGG